rnacentral:rRNA from 1 species
UAUAGCGUAUAUUAAAGUUGUUGCAGUUAAAAAGCUCGUAGUCGGAUGUCGGGUUCGGGGUGGCUGUCGGCCUAGGUCGGAUGGCCGUUCCGGAUCUUUCUGCCUGGGGAUCCUAUUCUUCUUAACCGAGGGGUAGUGGGACGCAGGCCGUUUACUUUGAAAAAAUUAGAGUGUUCAAAGCAGGCUUUGUCUUGAAUACAUUAGCAUGGAAUAAUGGAAUAGGACUUUGGUCUUAUUUGUUGGUUUAUGGGACCGAAGUAAUGAUUAACAGGGACAGUUGGGGCCGUUUAUAUUUCGUUGUCAGAGGUGAAAUUCUUGGAUUUACGAAAGAUAAACUUCUGCGAAAGCAUUCGGCAAGGAUGUUUUCAUUGAUCAAGAACGAAAGUUAGGGGAUCGAAGACGAUCAGAUACCGUCGUAGUCUUAACCGUAAACUAUGCCGACUAGGGAUCAGUGGAUGUCAAUUUGCGACUCCAUUGGCACCUUGUGAGAAAUCAAAGUUUUUGGGUUCCGGGGGGAGUAUGGUCGCAAGGCUGAAACUUAAAGGAAUU